rnacentral:rRNA from 1 species
GGUACUGCUAUCGGAGUUCGAUUAAGCCAUGCGAGUCUAAAGGCUUCUUCGGAAACCUUGGCGGACUGCUCAGUAACACGUGGAUAACCUACCCUUGGGACUGGAAUAACCCCGGGAAACUGGGGAUAAUACCGGAUAGAUCAGGGAUGCUGGAAUGCGCCUUGAUCUAAAGCUCCGGCGCCCAGGGAUGGGUCUGCGGCCUAUCAGGUAGUAGUGGGUGUAACGUACCUACUAGCCAACGACGGGUACGGGUUGUGAGAGCAAGAGCCCGGAGAUGGAUUCUGAGACACGAAUCCAGGCCCUACGGGGUGCAGCAGGCGCGAAACCUUUACAAUGUGCGAAAGCAUGAUAAGGGAACUCCGAGUGCCAGUAUCUAAUACUGGCUGUCCUUGUGCCUAAAACGCACAAGAUAGCAAGGGCCGGGUAAGACCGGUGCCAGCCGCCGCGGUAACACCGGCGGCCCGAGUGGUAGCCGCUAUUAUUGGGUCUAAAGGGUCCGUAGCCGGUUCGAUAAGUCCUCUGGGAAAUCUGGUUGCUUAACAAUCAGACUGCCAAGGGAUACUGUCGAACUUGAGACCGGGAGAGGUAAGAGGUACUUCAGGGGUAGGAGUGAAAUCUUGUAAUCCCUGGGGGACCAUCUGUGGCGAAGGCGUCUUACCAGAACGGGUCUGACGGUGAGGGACGAAAGCUGGGGGCGCAAACCGGAUUAGAUACCCGGGUAGUCCCAGCCGUAAACGAUGCUCGCUAUGUGUCAGGUACGGUGUGACCGUAUCUGGUGCCGUAGGGAAGCCGUGAAGCGAGCCACCUGGGAAGUACGGUCGCAAGACUGAAACUUAAAGGAAUUGGCGGGGGAGCACUACAACGGGUGGAGCCUGCGGUUUAAUUGGAUUCAACGCCGGA